UCUUCAUUUUACACACUCUCUUGCCUCUCCGAGAGGUGAGAGAGUGUGUGAAAUGAAGAGA
rnacentral:pre_miRNA from 1 species